GUGUCAGCAGCCGCGGUAAUACGGAGGGUGCAAGCGUUAUCCGGAAUCAUUGGGUUUAAAGGGUGCGCAGGCGGAAUUUUAAGUCAGUGGUGAAAUCCCUUCGCUUAACGAAGGAACUGCCAUUGAUACUGAAAUUCUUGAAUUUGGUUGGCGUGGGCGGAAUGUGCCAUGUAGCGGUGAAAUGCUUAGAUAUGGCACAGAACACCGAUCGCGAAGGCAGCUCACGAAACCAUUAUUGACGCUCAGGCACGAAAGCAUGGGGAGCAAACAGGAUUAGAAACCCUAGUAGUCC
rnacentral:rRNA from 1 species